GCUGGGCCGACCCUGGCGGCCUCCCUGACAGGGGCGGCGGCGGCCGCGGGAGCUUGCGGGGAGCUGGCUGCUUCCCGGAGAGGGCGCCACUCUCCUAGAGCCGUUCUCUGCCCGACGCGAAGCCCGUCCCCUCGUUCUGGCCUCGGCCCCGCAGGGGGACCCCUCUCUGCUACCCCACCGGGACGCACAGCCCGGAGUGCGCCGAGGAGCCCCUGCCCCCCGAGUGUCGCCCUCUCGCCCAUUCCCAGGAGCUCCCCUUCUCAGCUCUCACCGAGCCUGCCUCAGCCUCGCGCCUCGUCCCACCCGGCAGCUCCUUCCCACUUCUUCUCCCGAGAAGCCCCCCGCCGCCGCCCUGGGGACCCGGUCCCUCCCCUCAGCGCCGCCUCCGCAGGCCUCGCCAUCGCCCUCCGUGUGGCUGUGCGCUCCUGGAGACCCUAACUCUUCUCUGUAGGCAGGGGAUCCCGCCUGUCCGGGUCACUCGGCCCACCCGCUCUUCUCGGAGCGACGUGGACGAGAGGUAGAUAUGUCAGGCCUGCCCACUUUUACGGGGGUGAGUUCAGGCUGGGCGUAGUACUUGCGACAGCCUCCAUGUGGAAAGCCGUGUUGCUCAUCUGGAUGACAUGAGGUUCUGAAGGUUGGGGUUGACGCUGCGGAUGGCACGCAUGUAUGCCUUUAGCAGCUGGAUGUCUCGCUUCUGUUGGAGGCAAGAAGAACCAAGGAUGAUCGUUACGGCAGACAACAGAUUCUGCCUAGCCACUUAUUCCUUCUGAGAAGCCCCAGCUAUCAGCAGUUUAUCAAAUAUUUCACACCCCACAGAAAGAAAAAAUAGGGCAAGAGGAAAUAAGAGAAGGCCAACCUGACACAGAGAAAGUGCUGGAAUAAAAGGAAUUAAAGUGGAUCCACCUUCAGUG